GAUGAACGCUAGCGGCAGGCUUAACACAUGCAAGUCGAGGGGUAUUGGUUUUCGGACCAAGAGACCGGCGCACGGGUGCGUAACGCGUAUGCAAUCUACCUUUUGCAGAGGGAUAGCCCCAGAGAAAUUUGGAUUAAUACCUCAUAGUAUAGUACUUUGGCAUCAAGGAACUAUUAAAGUCACAACGGCAAAGAUGAGCAUGCGUCCCAUUAGCUAGUUGGUAAGGUAACGGCUUACCAAGGCUACGAUGGGUAGGGGUCCUGAGAGGGAGAUCCCCCACACUGGUACUGAGACACGGACCAGACUCCUACGGGAGGCAGCAGUGAGGAAUAUUGGACAAUGGGCGCAAGCCUGAUCCAGCCAUGCCGCGUGCAGGAUGACGGUCCUAUGGAUUGUAAACUGCUUUUANACAGGAAGAAACACUCCGACGUGUCGGAGCUUGACGGUACUGUAAGAAUAAGGAUCGGCUAACUCCGUGCCAGCAGCCG
rnacentral:rRNA from 1 species